rnacentral:rRNA from 1 species
GACGAACGCUGGCGGCGUGCUUAACACAUGCAAGUCGAACGAAGUGGCGAACGGGUGAGUAACGCGUAAUCAACCUGCCCUUCAGAGGGGGACAACAGUGGGAAACGACUGCUAAUACCGCAUACUGAAGGAGGGGACUGCGUCGGAUUAGCUCGUUGGAGGGGUAACGGCCCACCAAGGCGCUGAUCGGUAGGCGGGCUGGUAGGAUGAACAGCACCAUUUGGACUGGGAAACGGCCCAGACUCCUACGGGAGGCAGAAGUGGGGAAUCUUCCGCAAUGGACGAAAGUCUGACGGAGCAACGCCGCGUGAGGGAUGACGGCCUUCGGGUUGUAAAGCGCUGUUAAUCGGGGCGCGGUACCGAAAUAGAAAGCCACGGCUAACUACGUGCCAGCCGCCGCGGUAAUAC